rnacentral:rRNA from 1 species
GAGUGCGAUCAUACCAACACUAAUAUACCGGAUCCCAUAAGAACUCCGUAGUCAAGCGUGCUUGGGCGAGAGUAGUACAGGGAUGGGUGACCUCCUGGGAAGUCCUUGUGUUGCACCCC